UACGUAGGGUGCGAGCGUUGUCCGGAAUUAUUGGGCGUAAAGGGCUCGUAGGCGGUCUGUCGCGUCGGGAGUGAAAACUUACAGCUUAACUGUGAGCGUGCUUUCGAUACGGGCAGACUUGAGGCAUUCAGGGGAGAACGGAAUUCCUGGUGUAGCGGUGAAAUGCGUAGAGAUCCGGAGGAACACCAGCGGCGAAGGCGGCAUCCUGGACUGGUCCUGACACUCAUGAGCGAAAGCGUGGGGAGCGAUCCGG
rnacentral:rRNA from 1 species